GUUAAUGUGUGUGUGUGUUUGUGUCUGACUGUGUGUGUUUGUGAGUGUGUGUGUGUGUUUGUGUCUGUGUAUGUGUCUGACUGUGUGUGUGUGUGUUUGUGUCUGACUGUGUUUGUGUCUGUGUAUGUGUCUGACUGUGUGUGUGUGUGUGUUUGUGUCUGACUGUGUGUGUGUAUGUGACUGUGUGUGUCUGUGUGUUUGUGUGUGUGUUUGUGUCUGACUGUGUGUGUGUG